AUUUCAGAAGUAAAACACAAAUCAUGUUAACAGAUGAUUAAGUUUAUGUUGUAACGUUAUCUAGUAUGUCAGUAAAUAAAUUUCCUUUUAUUAGCUUUUUACUGUCUACGAUAUUAAUAAAUUAUGAUAAGUUUCAUUAAUUAAAUGAAUAUUAAAUAUUUCGCGAACCAUUUAUACAACUGCCACUUGCCAUAAAGUUAUGUUAUAAAAGCUGCCAUUUCAAAUAUGCUUUUAAGGAUAAAAGCUUUGAAAUUAAUUAGAUUAAAUAUUAAUGAGUCUUGAGAGAAAUAAUUUAGCUUACUUUAACUUAUCCCAUAAAACUCGUCUAAAAAUUAUUAUUAAAGUAUUAGUGAAUUUCAAUUAUUCUGAAGCUAUGACUAUGCAAAUUUGGGGCACUAAUAUGUGCUUCUGAAACUGCUCUGCCAUUUCUAUUUCAACUUGGCUGAAGAGUAGAAGCCAGUUUCAGUGCGAAGUUAAUUUUUUCUAAGUUUUUCUAAGUUCGAGUACCUUCUGUAUCGCACGGAGCGAACGCUCUACUCUCGUACAUUUUCUAAAAGUACAUAAAGCGUCCGAACGACGUUUUUUUGUACGGGUUUUUCUUUUUCCCGUUCCCGCUGGACACGUCUCGUCCACGCGGUGUGAACCCGGCCGUGCGGGCCCGCCAUUACGGUAGCCAAACGAGAAGUGAGGCCUUCCGACCUACCGAGAAUCUCCGAAGGAAAGUAUCCCCUUGUCCCGGUGGCUGUGUAGUCCCGCAGGCGAAGGCCAGUUGGAGACCCGUGACGCUUCCCGAGGAGAGGAGACGGCAGAGUAUCGGACCAUCAGCCACUGCCCCUUCUCGCAACUCUAAAUCGGCCAUCAACGCACGUGUGCCUAUUCCGGCGAUGCAUCUGCCGAAGAGCUCGGGUGUUCCGUCGCACUACUGAUUGGACAUCCCCUGUAGCUGGCGCCGUCCUCAUCAUCUCUCGAUGACGACACAGCCCUGCCGGUGUACCCAGCUGCCAGCAUAGAGCAUAAACCCUGAUCAGGUAUGUCGUUAAUCAUGGCCAUGUCACACACACACAACAACACUCACACUACACAAAAUGAAUAUUUGGAAAAAUGAAUACACAUAAAUGAAUUCAAUCUAAGUUUCUA